rnacentral:rRNA from 1 species
AUACGGAGGAUGCAAGCGUUAUCCGGAUUUAUUGGGUUUAAAGGGAGCGUAGGUGGAUUGUUAAGUCAGUUGUGAAAGUUUGCGGCUCAACCGUAAAAUUGCAGUUGAAACUGGCAGUCUUGAGUACAGUAGAGGUGGGCGGAAUUCGUGGUGUAGCGGUGAAAUGCUUAGAUAUCACGAAGAACUCCGAUUGCGAAGGCAGCUCACUGGACUGCAACUGACACUGAUGCUCGAAAGUGUGGGUAUCAAACAGGAUUAGAUACCCUGGUAGUCCACACAGUAAACGAUGAAUACUCGCUGUUUGCGAUAUACAGUAAGCGGCCAAGCGAAAGCAUUAAGUAUUCCACCUGGGGAGUACGCCGGCAACGGUGAAACUCAAAGGAAUUGACGGGG